AAGAUGUGCUUGAAACUCAUGUACUAACAUUAGAAAAACAAAGAGUAGCAUGGCCUCAGCACAAGAAUGACAUGCUAUUUUACAAAGAAUUCCAAAUUUUA
rnacentral:snRNA from 1 species